rnacentral:rRNA from 1 species
UGGGGAAUAUUGGACAAUGGGCGCAAGCCUGAUCCAGCCAUGCCGCGUGAGUGAUGAAGGCCCUAGGGUUGUAAAGCUCUUUCACCGGUGAAGAUAAUGACGGUAACCGGAGAAGAAGCCCCGGCUAACUUCGUGCCAGCAGCCGCGGUAAUACGAAGGGGGCUAGCGUUGUUCGGAUUUACUGGGCGUAAAGCGCACGUAGGCGGACUUUUAAGUCAGGGGUGAAAUCCCGGGGCUCAACCCCGGAACUGCCUUUGAUACUGGAAGUCUUGAGUAUGGUAGAGGUGAGUGGAAUUCCGAGUGUAGAAGUGAAAUUCGUAGAUAUUCGGAGGAACACCAGUGGCGAAGGCGGCGCACUGGACCAUUACUGACGCUGAGGUGCGAAAGCGGGGGGAGCAAACAGG